GGAAGUAAAAUUCGUAACAAGGUUUCCGUAGGUGAACCUGCGGAAGGAUCAUUCAUAAUAAAGUGUUUUAUGGCACUUUUUAAAAAUCCAUAUCCACCUUGUGUGCAAUGUUAGAUCUCGUCAAUCUUGGCGAGAUUUUUAUACAUCAACUCAUUCUUUAACUAAUUUGUCUGAAAAAUAUUAUGAAUACUUAAUUCAAAAUACAACUUUCAACAACGGAUCUCUUGGCUCUC
rnacentral:misc_RNA from 1 species